rnacentral:rRNA from 1 species
AUGCUACCCACGGCAGGGCAGUCUGGUCUUGUUGUGGACUGGGUUUGUGUGGUGCAGAGCAGAGGAGUGAAUGAGAGCAUGAGCUCCAGGCAAUUGGUUGCCGGCUCACAUCAAGGUUUGGAUAUAAAACCUGAGAUAUCAAAGACCUGGAUUCAAGCAAUUGGGUUUUACAUAUUCUGCACUGUUGUUCUUCAGCUAGCUGUUGAGAAAGCUGCCCGUUUCUUCAGUUGUCAGCUUCUUUCUCAAAAUCCAGCAGCCUCCUUCAGUUCUCCCCGCGCCGUCGCGCUCGACCCCUCUGCCCCAUCUACCCGAGCCGCCGCCUGCACAGACGCUCCGGCCCAGCGCCCGCAGACGAGCCUGCCGACUCGCCUCGUCCGUCCCGUCCCCCCGUCCNNNNNNNNNNNNNNNNNNNNNGUCCCCGCAUCGGAGAUUGAGAUCGUCGCCGUCUCGCGUGCUCAGCCACUGGUUCGAUCUUCUAGCUCCCAAUCCUCGGGGGAUGUUAUGGUGAAGCCCUCCAUACAAUUGCAAUAUGGAAGCUCAUUAUCAUUGCAAAUUGUGAAAGGUCCACAGAUUGCAUAG